CAACAACUUCUUCUGCUUCUUCCACUACCACUUCAUCUUCAUCUUCUUCUUCUUCUUCUGCAGAAGCCUUAAAGCUUGCUUCUCACCAUCCCCGUCCA
rnacentral:sRNA from 1 species